UACGUAGGUGGCAAGCGUUAUCCGGAAUUAUUGGGCGUAAAGAGCGCGCAGGUGGUUAAUUAAGUCUGACGUGAAAGCCCACGGCUUAACCGUGGAGGGUCAUUGGAAACUGGUUGACUUGAGUGCAGAAGAGGGAAGUGGAAUUCCAUGUGUAGCGGUGAAAUGCGUAGAGAUAUGGAGGAACACCAGUGGCGAAGGCGGCUUCCUGGUCUGCAACUGACACUGAGGCGCGAAAGCGUGGGGAGCAAACAGG
rnacentral:rRNA from 1 species